AGCUCGUGUCGUGAGAUGUUGGGUUAAGGUCCGCAACGAGCGCAACCCUUGCCUUUAGUUGCCAGCAGUUCGGCUGGGCACUCUAAAGGGACUGCCGUGUUAACCGGAGGAAGGUGGGGAUGACGUCAAGUCCUCAUGGCCCUUACGGCCUGGGCUACACACGUGCUACAAUGGUCGGUACAAAGGGUUGCCAAGCCGCGAGGUGGAGCUAAUCCCAUAAAACCGAUCGUAGUCCGGAUCGCAGUCUGCAACUCGACUGCGUGAAGUCGGAAUCGCUAGUAAUCGUGAAUCAGAAUGUCACGGUGAAUACGUUCCCGGGCCUU
rnacentral:rRNA from 1 species